UACGGAGGAUCCAAGCGUUAUCCGGAUUCAUUGGGUUUAAAGGGUGCGUAGGCGGCUUAUUAAGUCAGCGGUGAAAGCCUGGAGCUUAACUCCAGAACUGCCAUUGAUACUGAUGAGCUUGAGUACACUUGAAGUGGGCGGAAUGUGUCGUGUAGCGGUGAAAUGCUUAGAUAUGACACAGAACACCGAUUGCGAAGGCAGCUCACUAAAUUGUAACUGACGCUGAGGCACGAAAGCGUGGGGAUCAAAC
rnacentral:rRNA from 1 species